UAUGUGAUCGUCUCUCGCAUAUCAAUAAGCGGAGGAAAAGAAACUAACAAGGAUUCCCCUAGUAACGGCGAGUGAAGCGGGAAGAGCUCAAAUUUGAAAUCUUAAAGGGUUUCCCUUUACGAAUUGUAGUUUAAAGAAGUGUUUUCUGUUGAGGUUUUGGUAAAAGUUCUUUGGAAUAGGACAUCAUAGAGGGUGAGAAUCCCGUAUUUGACCUUUACUUUCAACUUUGUGAUACACUUUCAAGGAGUCGGAUUGUUUGGGAAUGCAGUCCAAAAUGGGUGGUAAAUUUCAUCUAAAGCUAAAUAUUGGCGAGAGACCGAUAGCGAACAAGUACCGUGAGGGAAAGAUGAAAAGAACUUUGAAAAGAGAGUUAAACAGUACGUGAAAUUGUCAAAAGGGAAGCGUUUGACACCAGUGUUGUUUUUCUGAAAAUCAAUUAAAGAACUGUUUAUGCUAAGUUGUUUAGACUUUAUCAGCUAACUGUUUAGUUUUGAGCUUUUCUUUAAUGCACUUUUCAGUUAACAAGUCAACAUCAAUUUCUUUUGCUGUAAAAAAGCUUGAGGAAGGUGGCUUGAGAUUCGUCUUAAGUGUUUAUAGCCUCUUGCCUAUGCAGUCGGAGAGAUUGAGGUCUGCAGCGUAGAUCCUUCGGGGCUAAAUGCAUUUGUGCUAAGUUAUAGCAUUUUAUAGACAACUUGUUGACUAUGAUUUGUCUUGUAGCUUACUCGCUUAUGUUAUUUUACCUACGCUUAGGAUGUUGACACACGCGCGUGCUCGAGUCUAUACAUGACUCUGCGCAUAUCAAUAAGCGGAGGAAAAGUGCAUUAGAGGUCCAGAUACCUACGCUUAGGAUGUUGACACACGCGCGUGCUCGACUCUAUACAUGACUCUGUGCAUAUCAAUAAGCGGAGGAAAAGGGAAUCGGUCGCCCCAGUACCUACGCUUAGGAUGUUGACACACGCGCGUGCUCG
rnacentral:rRNA from 1 species